AGUGAACGCUGGCGGUAGGCCUAACACAUGCAAGUCGAACGGCAGCACAGUAAGAGCUUGCUAUUACGGGUGGCGAGUGGCGGACGGGUGAGGAAUACAUCGGAAUCUACUUUUUCGUGGGGGAUAACGUAGGGAAAAUUACGCUAAUACCGCAUACGACCUACGGGUGAAAGCAGGGGAUCUUCGGACCUUGAGCGUUUGAAUGAGCCGAUGUCGGAUUAGCUAGUUGGCGGGGUAAAGGCCCAACAAGGCGACGAUCCGUAGCUGGUCUGAGAGGAUGAUCAGCCACACUGGAACUGAGACACGGUCCAGACUCCUGCGGGAGGCAGCAGUGGGGAAUAUUGGACGAUGGGCGCAAGCCUAAUCCAGCCAUACCGCGUGGGUGAAGAAGGCCUUCGGGUUGUAGAGCCCUUUUGUUGGGAAAGGAAAGCAGCAGGUUAAUACCCCGCUGUUCUGACGGUACCCGAAGAAUAAGCCCCGGCUAACUUCGUG
rnacentral:rRNA from 1 species